rnacentral:rRNA from 1 species
UAUAAAAUAAAAGAAUUAAUUGAAUUUAAUUUCAUUUUAUUUUUUUCCUUUUAUAUUUUGCUUUUUUAUUUUGUUUUAUUUUUAUUUUAAUUUUUUUUUUUUUUUUUUUUUUUUUUUUCCCUUAUUGACUAUUUUUCUAAGCUAAUGUGGAAAAAUAUAACUUGCUUCUUUUUUUUUUUUUCUUUUCUGAAGGGAGAAAAAAAAGAAAAAUAUGAAAGAUACAUUUAUUUAAUUUACUGAGGAUUGUGAAAAUUAUAUUAAUUGUAUAUGAUGCGAAAUAAUAUAAUUUAAGAUGUUUUUAUAAAGUACUUUUUUAACCCACUCGUCUUGAAACACGGACCAAGGAGUCUAACAAAUGUGCAAGUGUAUAUGAUAAGAAUAAACAUAGUAUAAAAAUUUCUACGCAUAAUUAAUGUAACAAAAAUAUAUGUUUAUUAAUUGUAGAUUUUGUGGGGUUUUAAAUUUUUUUUAUAAAUCCACACAAAUGCAUACAAUACCGGUGAGCAAUUAUGCUUUAUUGAGUAAGAGCAUACUUGUUAGGACCCGAGAGGCUUUGAACUAAACGUGAUGAGAUUGAAGUCAGAGUAAAAUCUGAUGGAGGAUCGAGUUGAUACUGACGUGCAAAUCGUUCAUUUCAAUUGCGUUUAGGGGCGAAAGACUAAUCGAAAAGCCUAUUAGCUGGUUAUUUUCGAAAGAUCUCUCAGGAUCGCUGGAGUUGAUUAUAAUAUAGUUUUACCUGGUAGAAAUAAUGAUUAGAGGAUUCAAGGAGAUGAUAAUUCCUUGACCUAUAUAUAUCGAAAGAUUCAAUAGGUAAAAAAAUGAGGAAAUAACUUUAUUGUAUUUUCAUUCAUAUUUAAAAAUAAGAUAACUCCAAGUUGGCCAUUUUUGGUAAGCAGAACUGGCGAUGAGGGAUGCUCCUAACGCUUGGAUAAGGUGCCUAAAUAUCCGCUCAUUAGAUACCAUUAAAAAGGUGUUGGUUUGUGAUUACAGUAGGACGGUAUUCAUAGAAGUUGAAAUCCGCUAGGAAGUGUGUAACAACUUACCUACCUAAUAAACUCGCCCUGAAAAUGGAUGGCGCUAAAGCGGAUUACCGAUACCAAGCCAUAAAAAAGAAAAAAAAAAAAAAUUCAAUAUUUUUUUUAUUUUUUUAGAUUCUUUUUAUGAGUAGAAAAUCGUGGGGUUUUGUGUUGAAGCGAAAUACGUGAGUUUUCGUGGAACAUCUCCCUAGUGCAGAUCUUGGUGGAAGUAGCAAAUAUUCUUAUGAGAACUUUGAAGACUGAAGUGGAGAAGGGUUUUUUGUAAACUAUGUUUGAGCAAAAGUUAGCCGUUCCUAAGAGAUAGCUGAAAAGCGUUAUAAAUUGAGGUUACCUAUUAUAUGAAAAGUAUAGUAGUGUUUUUUCUCUUCUCGAAAGGGAAGCAGGUUGAUAUUCCUGCGCCAUAUGUAAUAAGAACUAAUAAAUAGAGAUGGUAACAUAUAUAUAAAUAAAUGAACUCCUUAACAUAGGCCUUACGCUUGGAGUGCGUUAUCUUUGCACUUUAACUUUAUAUCAAACCUUCGAAAUCGAUUUACUUGUAGAAAAGGUUCGAUGAAUUUACAAUAAGCAAUUUAUUUAUUAUAUGCGUGGACCGGUACACAUGAUAUAUAUAUUAAUGAAUUGUUUUGUAGUAAUAGUAAUUCGUUUGUUGUACGAAUUAUCCAAAGUUGUAUGGACUAUCCAUGAAAAAAGGAGGGAACACUAAAUUAAAUGGGAAUGUAUAAAAUACUAUAAAAGUAUGAAAGAAGAAAAAGUAAAGAAAGGAAAGAAAAAAAAAUAUUAACCUUCAGCUUUUUUUUCUAUUUUUUUUUUCUUUUUUUGCUUUCAUAUAUUUUUAUAGUGUUUUUACAUUAACCAUUUUUUUUUUUAUAUUCUUAAAUUACAAUUAUAAAAAUGAACGUACCAAUAACCGCAUCAGGUCUCCAAGGUUAGUAGCCUCUGGUUAAAUAGAAAAACGUAGGUAAGGGAAGUCGGCAAAUUAGAUCCGUAACUUCGGGAAAAGGAUUGGCUCUGAUAACACAAAAUGAGAAGAAAAAAAUGAAAAGAAAAAAAUGAAAAGAAUUGUGGUUGAAAAUAAAAAUGUUAAGAUGUUUAUUUAUAUAUUUAUAUUAGUUUUUCUUAUAUUUUAAGAUUAAUUAAUUAAUUAUAUAUUUAAUAUGUUAAAAUGUUUUAUAUUUCUUCUUCUACUCUAUUCUAUUCCAUUCUAUUCUAUUCUAUUUUUUUUUUUCUCUUUCUCUUCGAUAUUACAUAUAUUUUGUUAUUAUAAUAAAAAUUAUGUAAUAUUGUUUAGCUGUGUUUAUUCAGAACUGAAACGGACAAGGGGAAUCCGACUGUUUAAUAAAAACAUAGCAUUGUGAAAAGCUAUAACUGGUAUUAACACAAUGUGAUUUCUGCCCAGUGCUUUGAAUGUCAAGUUGAUGAAAAUUUCAAUUAAGCGCAGGUAAACGGCGGGAGUAACUAUUAUGACUCUCUUAAGGUAGCCAAAAAUGUAUGGUCGAUAAAAAGGACCAUCAGGAAUGGAUUAACGAGAUUCCUACUGUCCCUACUUGCGAUCUAGCGAAACCACAACCAAGGGAAAGGGCUUGGUAAAAUCAGCAGGGAAAGAAGACCCUGUUGUGCUUUACUCUAGUCUGACUUUGUAAAAAGAUUUAAGAGGUAUAGUAUAAGUGGUAGUAGAAAUUGAAAUAAUGUUUUUACGUCAGUGAAAUACCACUACUUUUAAAAAGUUUUUACUAAUCCAUUUAUCUAGUGAAUGACUAUUAUAUAAAUAUAUAUAUAUAUAUAUAUUUUCUAUAUUUUAUGUGUAUCACUUUUUAUGGAGACAGAGUCAGGUGGGGAGUUUGACUAAGGUGGUACAUCUGUUAAAAAAUAACGCAGAUGUCCAAAGAUAAGCUCAAGGAGAACAGAAAUCUCUUGUAGACUAAAAGGGGAAAAGCUUGUUUGAUUUCUAUUUUCAGAACGAGUAGAAAACGUGAAAGCGUGGCCUAUCGAUCCUUUAUAUUUGCAAAAUGACGUAAAAUUAUUUACUACUGUGCAUAUAAAGGUGUCUGAAAAGUUACCACAGGGAUAACUUGUUUGUGGCUGCUUAGCGAUAUUAGCAACGUGGCUUUUUGUAUUUUCGAUUACGGCUCUUCCUAUCAUUGGGACGCAGAAGUCUCAAAGUGUCGGAUUGUUCACCCGCUAAUAGGGAACGUGAGCUGGGUUUAGACCGUCGUGAGACAGGUUAGUUUUACCCUACUGAUGAAUAUUAUUAUAUUAUUAUAUAUAUAUAUAUAUAGUAUUGUGACAGUAAUCCAACUUGGUACGAGAGGAUUAGUUGGUUCAGACAAUUGGUACAGCAAUUGGGUUGAUAAACCAGUGUUGCGAAGCUACGUCUGUUGGAUAAUGACUGAACGAUUCUAAAGUCAGAACCCAUACUGAUUAAACAAUAAUAUAAUUGUAUAUUUUUGUUAUAAGGUUGUGUUUUAUUUUUUUUUAUUGCUAAUGUAAAAGAGAAAUUUAAUAUAUGCGUUAAUCUAUAUAUAUUAUGUAUAGAUUUUCAUAAACAUAUAAAUAAUCCCAUAAAGACGUAUCUUUUUUUUUUCUAAACAAAGAAAAAUAUGUUCUUUUUAUUGUAAUUUAACAACAAAAAUAAUCUAAAGUAUAUUGUAGACGACAUUUUUAGCCUCAGAGUGCUGUAAACAUGUGAGCAAACUUGUUUUGCGAACUGUUCAGGCUUAUCUCUUGUGGUUUUUGCUUUUAUAAAAAAAAACAUCUACAAAAUGAAAAUAUUGAAAUUGUUGCAAAUAUAAAAUACGUGUAUUUAUUAUAUAUGUAACAAUUUUAUUAUUCAUAUAACAAUUAUUAAUGUAUCAAUUUUUUUUUUUUUUUAACUUUAUUUUUUUAUUUAUUUAUAGGUAUAUAUAUAUAUAUAUAAUUGGACAAAUCUUUCAUAGGAAAUUAUAUAUUUUUAUAUAUUUAUUGCAUAUAUCAAAUAUUCAUAAUAUAUCACCACAUAGAUGAUAAAUAAAUAAAUAAAUAAAUAUAUAUAUAUAUAUAUAUAUAUAUAUAUAUAUAAUAUUUUGUUUAUGUUUUUAUAAAACGUUAAAAACAUUAUAUAUUUUAUUUUUAUUUAAGAAAAACUUUUUAUUGUUUUCCUAGAAUGAAAGUGAAAAUAUUAAGAACAUUUUUAAUAGAAUGUAUGUCUAUCUAUGUAUGUAAUAUUUUAAUUAUAUAAUAUAGUUUUAUGUUUGAUUAUCUUGAUGCAUAAAAUUUUAAUAUAUAAUUAUAGAUAUUUAAUUAAAAAUUUGACAAAUAAAUAGAAAAUGUUAUUUAUUUGUUUAUUAUUUUUUUUUUAUUUUCUAAAUGAUCAUAUAUAUAUAUAUAUAUAUAUUAAAAAUGAUAACUUUUAUAUAUGUAUGUUUUAUCUAUGUAGAACUUAUUACAUACAUGAAAUAUAUAAUAUACAUCAUUAAUUAUAUAAUAUAAAAGUACAUCAUGUUAGAAAUAAAAUUUUAAGUUUAAUACGAUAACGAGUUAUAUACUUAUAUAUUUUAAUAUAACUAUUUUGUAUAAUAUAAAGGGGGGUUGUCUAUUAAAAAUUAUAUAUUAUCUUUAUAUGUGUUUGAUUUGGAAAAUUACAGGAUUAUUAUAUUGUUAUUAUUAUAAAGUGUAUACGAUUUAAAUAAAUAUAUAUAUAUAUAUAUAUAUAUAUAUAUAAUUUUUGUAUUAUAUAAUAUUGAUAUAAUCACAUGUUUAUUAAUUGAUAAUAAUAAUGAUAAUAUUAUAAUAUAAUAUAAUUUUAUGAAGCUAUUUAUAUUUUAUUGUAUUUUUUUAGAUAUCAUAGCUUCUAGUAAGAGUUUAGAUUCACUCAAUAAAUUUUCCUCUUCUUCAUAGGAUAAGCAUAUAAAAUUAUUUUUCAAUAAACUUUUGAUAAAAUAAAAAAAGAGUUCCUCUUUUUUUGAUACAAUUAUUUUAUUUUCUGUACUUAUAUUUUGAAUAUUAUCAUAAAUUUCUUUAAAUAUAUAUUUUUUAACAUUUUCAUACUUUACAUCUCUAUAAUAGUAACUAUUAAGUUUAAAAGGUUCUCCUGGUAACAAUUCAUAAUAUUCUUCUUGAUUAUCUGAAGAAUCUUUUAAAUUGUAGAGUUUAAGAAAUUCGUCAUAAUUUCUUGUCAUUUUAAAAUUUUCAAAAACCUUUGUGUGUUUUUUUUUAUAUGGUCCGAUAGGACUAUAUUGAUAUCUAUUAAUUGAUGAUAAUGAUAUAUUUUCAACAUCUUCUAAAAUAUUAAAUGAUUCUUCUGUAUCAUUUGAAAAAAUAUGAUUCACGGAAUAAUCUUCAUUAACAUAUUCAUAAUCACUUGUAUCUUCAUCACUGUUCUCAUAUAAUUGAAGUUCACCAAAAGAAAUAUCUAAAUUAUCUUCUGAGUUAGUACUGUAUAACAAUAAUUCAUCCAUCGUAUUACUAUUAGUACUAAUAAGACUAUUUGAUGAAUCUUGAUUUUUGAGUUCAUUUGAAUUUGUUUUAAUAUUUUGUGUGAAGGUAUUUAUUUCAUUUUCAUUAUUAUGAUGAAUAGUAUUGUUAUUUUGAUUUGUUUGUUGCUCUAAUUUAUUGUUCAUUUCUUUUUUUAAUUUUUUUUUUUUUAAUUUUGAGAUUUCUGUAAUUAUAUUAUCAAGGUCUAUCAUAGUAGAAGAAGGAGAGGGGUAGUCUAUGUUAGUUGAUCUUGUUAAAUCAGAAUUAUUUUUGACUCCUUCAAGUAUUUCAUAUUCUUCUUCAUCAUCUAUUAAAUUUGGUACUUCAGAGGGGCUUAAACCAAAUAUAUCAUUUGUAUUAUUAUUAUUACUAUUAUUUUUUUUUAAUGUAUUCGUUCUUGU